GCGCUGGUGGUGUAGGGGUUAAGCACACGACCAUAUAUGGAGACUAUAAUCCUCGAUGUGGCCAUCCUGGGUUCAAGUCCCAGACCUGGCGACCU